AUCCGAUAGGCGAGGAAUCCUGGAAUGGUUCUUCACCCAAAGGACAUUGGAAACAUGCUUUCUCUGCCGCCUGGGGAUGGGGCCGCGUCCGAUCAGGUUGUUGGUGAGGUAAUGGCUCACCAAGCCUUUAACCGGUACGGGCCGUGAGAGCGGUAGCCCGGAGAUGGGUACUGAGACAAGGACCCAGGCCCUACGGGGCGCAGCAGUCGCGAAAACUCCGCAAUGCACGAAAGUGUGACGGGGCUACCCCGAGUGCCGUCCGCUGAGGAUGGCUUUUCCUUGGUGUAACUAGCCGGGGGAAUAAGGAGAGGGCAAGACUGGUGUCAGCCGCCGCGGUAAUACCAGCUCUCCGAGUGGUAGGGAUGAUUAUUGGGCUUAAAGCGUCCGUAGCCGGCUUAGCAAGUUUCCUGUUAAAUUCAGCGACCUAAUCGUUGAGCCGCGGGAAAUACUACUAGGCUAGGAGGCGGGAGAGGUCGACGGUACUUCCGGGGUAGGGGUGAAAUCCUAUAAUCCCGGGAGGACCACCAGUGGCGAAGGCUGUCGACUAGAACGCGCUCGACGGUGAGGGACGAAAGCUGGGGGAGCGAACCGGAUUAGAUACCCGGGUAGUCCCAGCUGUAAACGAUGCGGGCUAGGUG
rnacentral:rRNA from 1 species